rnacentral:tRNA from 1 species
UGCGAGAAUGGUGAAAUUGGCAUACACGCAGGCUUCAGGUGCCUGUUUUCGAAGGAAAAUGGGGGUUCGAGUCCCCUUUCUCGCAG